rnacentral:rRNA from 1 species
UGAGAAGCUUGCUUCUUAUCAAUUCGAGUGGCAAACGGGUGAGUAACGCGUAAGCAACCUGCCCUUUAGAUGGGGACAACAGCUGGAAACGGCUGCUAAUACCGAAUACGUUCUUUUUGUCGCAUGGCAGAGAGAAGAAAGGGAGGCUCUUUGGAGCUUUCGCUGAAGGAGGGGCUUGCGUCUGAUUAGCUAGUUGGAGGGGUAACGGCCCACCUAGUCUUCGAUGGAUAGGGGUUCUGAGAGGAAGGUCCCCACAUUGGAACUGAGACACGGUCCAAACUCC